rnacentral:rRNA from 1 species
UACGGAGGGUGCAAGCGUUAUCCGGAUUCACUGGGUUUAAAGGGUGCGUAGGUGGGCAGGUAAGUCAGUGGUGAAAUCUCCGGGCUUAACCCGGAAACUGCCAUUGAUACUAUCUGUCUUGAAUACCGUGGAGGUGAGCGGAAUAUGUCAUGUAGCGGUGAAAUGCUUAGAUAUGACAUAGAACACCAAUUGCGAAGGCAGCUCACUACACGAAUAUUGACCACUGGAGGAACGAAAAGCGUUG